rnacentral:rRNA from 1 species
UGCGUACCUUUUGUAUAAUGGGUCAGCGACUUAUAUUCUGUAGCAAGGUUAACCGAAUAGGGGAGCCGGAGGGAAACCGAGUCUUAAUUGGGCGUUAAGUUGCAGGGUAUAGACCCGAAACCCGGUGAUCUAGCCAUGGGCAGGUUGAAGGUUGGGUAACACUAACUGGAGGACCGAACCGACUAAUGUUGAAAAAUUAGCGGAUGACCUGUGGCUGGGGGUGAAAGGCCAAUCAAACCGGGAGAUAGCUGGUUCUCCCCGAAAGCUAUUUAGGUAGCGCCUCGUGAAUUCAUCUCCGGGGGUAGAGCACUGUUUCGGCUAGGGGGCCAUCCCGGCUUACCAACCCGAUGCAAACUGCGAAUACCGGAGAAUGUUAUCACGGGAGACACACGGCGGGUGCUAACGUCCGUCGUGAAGAGGGAAACAACCCAGACCGCCAGCUAAGGUCCCAAAGUCAUGGUUAAGUGGGAAACGAUGUGGGAAGGCCCAGACAGCCAGGAUGUUGGCUUAGAAGCAGCCAUCAUUUAAAGAAAGCGUAAUAGCUCACUGGUCGAGUCGGCCUGCGCGGAAGAUGUAACGGGGCUAAACCAUG